UCUCACAAUACCAGGCGGGGAGUGUCACGGCAUUGGAACCUUUUUGGGUUUUGGCGCCACCUAGUGUUUUCUAGUGGGGGAAAUAUUCAUUAUUAAGCCUGCUUUUAUUUUGACACUUACCUUCAGUUGAUGUAACUUCCUGUGAUGUCAUGUUCAGCUAGAGGAGGAAGUUCAUUACUUCAGUUGAGUCAGACCAUGCCAAGGUGAAGAGGUGCUCAUCCUUAGGUUGUUCUUGCCCUUGGAAAGGCUUUGCUUUUUUACGAAUCCCAAGGAAGAAUUCUGUGUAUCUGAAGAUUGGAGUAAACUUUCAAAACUCA